UACAGAGGAUGCAAGCGUUAUCCGGAAUGAUUGGGCGUAAAGCGUCUGUAUGGUGGCUUUUUAAGUCCGCCGUCAAAUCCCAGGGCUCAACUCUGGACAGGCGGUGGAAACUACCAAGCUGGAGUACGGUAGGGCAGAGGGAAUUUCCGGUGGAGCGGUGAAAGUGACGUAGAGAUCGGAAAGAACACCAACGGCGAAAGCACUCUGCUGGGCCGACACUGACACUGAGAGACGAAAGCUAGGGGAGCGAAUGGG
rnacentral:rRNA from 1 species